UUCAUGGAAUCUACAUGGAACCUGGACGCGUACCGCCGAUCUCAAAAACGGCUUUAACGACUUACCUAGAAAUUAAACAGUUGGUGUAUAGGCCUAUUACUGAGAAAAUAAUUACUAGCUCGUUGGCCACACAUGGAAUACUCAAGUCUGAUUUAUCAUUUUUCAGCUGAAAGAGGCGGAGAUAAAAUUUCUACAAAAGUUUUUAUGUUGUUUUUCUUUCUAAAAUUAAUUGUAAUUUUUAAAUUAAAAAAUCUUACAUUUUUUUUUGUCUGUAAACAAUAGAACAAGUCAUCUAUACAGUUUUCAGUACUACGUAUAUAUGGCGCCCACACUAGAUGUAAGCAUACACUUAAUGUACACACACACGAGGCCUACACUUGAUGUACAUAUGACAUUGACCUAUAAAUAUGUAAGCACGAUAUAGGUCUGCCUCUGAUUUAUGCAUGACAUGGGCCUAUAUUGAUGUAUAAAUGGCAAAGGCUUACAAUUGAUGUGUACAUGAAAUAGGACUACAUUCAGUGUACAAAUGACAUAGGCCUUCACUUGGUGUACAAAUGACAUAGGCCUUCAUUUGGUGUACAAAUGACAUAGGCCUACAGUUGACAUAGGCUUAUACUUAUAAUUAAAUUGUACUAUUGAUUUUCAAAUGAUUAAAAUAUGAAAAAUAUUCACAAAUUCCUAUUUAGAAAUUAACACUAUCUGCCCUUA